rnacentral:rRNA from 1 species
GACGAAGGGGGCUAGCGUUGUUCGGAAUUACUGGGCGUAAAGCGCGUGUAGGCGGUUGCCCAAGUCGGGUGUGAAAGCCUUGAGCUCAACUCAAGAAAUGCACUCGGUACUGGGUGACUAGAGGACCGGAGAGGAUAGUGGAAUUCCCAGUGUAGUGGUGAAAUACGUAGAGAUUGGGAAGAACACCAGUGGCGAAGGCGGCUCACUGGUCCGGUACUGACGCUGAUGUGCGAAAGCGUGGGGAGCAAACAGG